CAGAUCAGUGCUUGGCACCUAGCAAGCACUCAGUAAAUACUUGUUGAGUGCCUGCUGUGUGCCGGGCAUUGUGCUGA
rfam:Chlorocebus sabaeus isolate 1994-021 chromosome 23, whole genome shotgun sequence.